rnacentral:rRNA from 1 species
GACGAACGCUGGCGGCGUGCUUAACACAUGCAAGUCGAACGGACAGGCCCUGCUUUUGUGGGGUGCUCGAGUGGCGAACGGGUGAGUAACACGUGAGUAACCUGCCCUUGACUUUGGGAUAACUUCAGGAAACUGGGGCUAAUACCGGAUAGGAGCUCCUGCUGCAUGGUGGGGGUUGGAAAGAUUCGGCGGUUGGGGAUGGACUGGCGGCUUAUCAGCUUGUUGGUGGGGUAGUGGCUUACCAAGGCUUUGACGGGUAGCCGGCCUGAGAGGGUGACCAGCCACAUUGGGACUGAGGUACGGCCCAGACUGCUACGGGAGGCAGCAGUGGGGAAUAUUGCGCAAUGGGCGGAAGCCUGAUGCAGCAGCGCCGCGUGCGGGAUGACGGCCUUCGGGUUAUAAACCGCUUUCGCCUGUAACGAAGCGUGAGUGACGGUAAUGGGUAAAGAAGCACCGGCUAACUACGUG